rnacentral:rRNA from 1 species
CCUACGGGUGGCAGCAGUGAGGAAUAUUGGUCAAUGGUCGGGAGACUGAACCAGCCAAGCCGCGUGAGGGAUGAAGGUACAGAGUAUCGUAAACCUCUUUUGUCAGGGAACAAAGGCGGGGACGUGUCCCCGGAUGAGUGUACCUGAAGAAAAAGCAUCGGCUAACUCCGUGCCAGCAGCCGCGGUAAUACGGAGGAUGCGAGCGUUAUCCGGCUUUAUUGGUUUUAAAGGGUGCGCAGGCGGUCUGUUAAGUCAGCGGUCAAAGCCCGGGGCUCAACCCCGGCCCGCCGUUGAAACUGGCAGUCUUGAGUUGGAGAGAAGUAUGCGGAAUGCGCGGUGUAGCGGUGAAAUGCAUAGAUAUCGCGCAGAACUCCGAUUGCGAAGGCAGCAUGCCGGCUCCACACUGACGCUGAGGCACGAAAGCGUGGGUAUCGAACAGGAUUAGAUACCCCUGUAGUC